GAGCUGUUUGCCUCUGGGACUCACCUUCCUUUAGAAUUUCACCAUGGGCCAGAUCCUUAUCCUCUUCAUUUUUCUCACUUACUUCUCAGGUAUGGUUUAUGUGGUCUAAUGGGCUAGCAACAAAGCUAUUUCUCUAUCUAGCACAGAAACAGAAUACGUUUGUGAUAUUAAGGAGCAAAGAAUGAUGCAUCGGUUUUUCUUUUUCUUUCUGCAAAGGUGUCGCUUCACAGCCGACAUUGACUCAGGCAGCCUCCGAGUCUGUCUCCCCGGGCCAAGCAAUUAAACUCUCCUGUUCUAAAAGUAGCGGUGGAAGCUGGGGCAACUUUCACUGGUAUCAACAGAAACCUGGCCAGGCUCCUCGCUUCGUGUUCUAUCAUACCAGCACCCGGGGAGAAGGGAUCCCAGAUCGGUUCACAGGUUCUUAUUCAGGGAACACAGGCUAUUUAACCAUCACCAACAUCCAGGCUGAAGAUGAGGCCGUUUAUUACUGUUGUGCUUAUGAGAGCUCUGGUAGCGCCCAGUUC